CCUACGGGAGGCAGCAGUGGGGGAUAUUGCACAAUGGGGGAAACCCUGAUGCAGCGACGCCGCGUGGGCGAAGAAGUAUCUCGGUAUGUAAAGCUCUAUCAGCAGGGAAGAAGAAAUGACGGUACCUGAGUAAGAAGCACCGGCUAAAUACGUGCCAGCAGCCGCGGCCAUACGUAUGGUGCAAGCGGUAUCCGGAUUUACUGGGUGUAAAGGGGGCGUAGGCGGCACGGCAAGCCUGAUGUGAAAGCCCGGGGACCAACCGCGGGACUGCAUUGGGAACUGCCGGGCUGGAGUGCCGGAGAGGUAGGCGGAAUGCCUAGUGUAGCGGUGAAAUGCGUAGAUAUUAGGAGGAACACCAGUGGCGAAGGCGGCCUACUGGACGGUGACUGACGCUGAGGCUCGAAAGCGUGGGGAUCGAACAGGAUUAGAUACCCCAGUAGUA
rnacentral:rRNA from 1 species